CUCGUGGUCUCCGUCGCAUCUGCUUUUGUUGCAUCCAUUCCAGAGCUUUCUAGUCGAGGACAUGGACAGCUUGCUUGGGAAACACCUCUUCGUGGUGGUUGCUGCCACACUCGCUGCACUGAUUAUGGGCCCAAACGAAGCUGAGGCAAUUCCAAGCUUUAUCACGGACGCUCUUGCAAAGGCCAUUGGACGAAAUGAAGAAAAUGACGAGUAGCGAAGCGCCAGUGUUGGCGAUAGAGUGUGGGCGAUCUGCGUUCCAUUGACGGCGCCUGCUUCGUAACUGAAUAAAAUGAAUGAAGCAAAAAUUGGCCUGGAAUGAAUAAACAA